CCUCUAUUUCUUGGCACGCUGGGCGUUGUCCGUACCCCAGUGUGUAAUGUAAGGAGGAAGAGAAUACCCGGUGCUAUGUCUUCGGUGCCAGCUUUUGCAAUAAGCUGGUUCUAUCCUCAAUCGCUGGGACAAGC